CACGGUAAACUCCACCCGGAGCAAGGCCAAAUAGGGGUUCACAUGGUACGGCCCGUACUGAACCCGGGUAGGCUGCUUGAGCCAGUGAGCGAUUGCUGGCCUAGAUGAAUGACUGUCCAACGACAGAACCCGGCUUAUCGGUCAGCUUCAACU
rnacentral:RNase_P_RNA from 1 species